ensembl:lncRNA
UUGUCGUUGUAGGUGCAGCAGUUGUGGUUGAUGCAGUAGUUGUUGUUGUUAGUGCAGUAGUUGUUGUUGUUGUUCCUGCAGCAGUUGUCGUUGUUGGUGCAGCAGUUAUUGUAGUUGGUGCAGCAGUUGUCGUUGUUAGUGAAGCAGUUGUUGGUGCAGCAGUUGUCAUUGGUGUAGCAGUGGUUGGUGUUGGUACAGCAGUUGUCGUUAUUGGUGCGACAGUUGUCAAUGUUGGUGCAGCAGUUAUUGUCGCUGUUGGUGCAGCAGUUGUCGUUGUUGGUGCAGCAGUUGUCGUUUGUGCAGCAGUUGUUGUUUGUGCAGCAUUUGUCGUUGUUGGUACAGCAGUUGUCGUUGUAGGUGAAAAAGUUGUUGUUGUAGGUGCAGCAGUUGUGGUUGAUGCAGUAGUUGUUGUUUGUGCAGUAGUUGUUGUUGGUGCAGCUGUUGUUGUUGUUGGUGCUACAAAUGUCGUUGUUGGUGCAGCAGUUGUCGUUGUUGGUGCAGCAGUUGUUGUCGUUGGUGCAGCAGUUGUUGUUGUUGGUGCUACAAAUGUCGUUGUUGGUGCAGCAGUUGUCGUUGUUGGUGCAGCAGUUGUCGUUGUUGGUGCAGCAGUUGUUGUCGUUGGUGCAGCAGUUGUCGUAGUUAGUGAAGCAGUUGUUGGUGCAGCAGUUGUCGUUUGUGCAGCAGUUGUCGUUGGUGCAGCAGUUGUCGUGGUUGGUGCAGCAGUUGUCGUUUGUGCAGCAGUUGUCGGUGAUCCAGCAGUUGUCGGUGUUGUUGCCACUGUUAUGGUUGUUGGAGCCGCUGUUAUGGUUGUUGGUGCCACUGUUGAAGUUGUUGGAGCUGCUGUUGUGGUAGUUGGAACUGUUGUGGUAGUUGGAACUGCUGUUGUGGUUGUUGGAGCAGCUGUUGUGGUUGUCGGAGCUGCUGUUGUGGUUGGUUGAUCCGGGCCUGUGGUUGUUGGAGCCGCUGUUGUGGUUGAUGGAGCUGCUGUUGUGGUUGGUGGACCCAGGCCUGUUGUUGUUGGAGCUGCAGUUGUCGUUUGUGCAGCAGAUGUCGUUGGUGCAAUAGUUGUCACAAUUGGUGCAGCAGUUAUUGUCGUUGGUGCUGCAGUUGUCGUUGUUGAUGCAGCAGUUGUUGUUGUAGGUGCAACAGUUGUCGUUGUAGGUGCAGCAGUUGUGGUUGAUGCAGUAGUUGUUGUUGUUAGUGCAGUAGUUGUUGUUGUUGUUCCUGCAGCAGUUGUCGUUGUUGGUGCAGCAGUUAUUGUAGUUGGUGCAGCAGUUGUCGUUGUUAGUGAAGCAGUUGUUGGUGCAGCAGUUGUCAUUGGUGUAGCAGUGGUUGGUGUUGGUACAGCAGUUGUCGUUAUUGGUGCGACAGUUGUCAAUGUUGGUACAGCAGUUAUUGUCGCUGUUGGUGCAGCAGUUGUCGUUGUUGGUGCAGCAGUUGUCGUUUGUGCAGCAGUUGUUGUUUGUGCAGCAUUUGUCGUUGUUGGUACAGCAGUUGUCGUUUGUGCAGCAGUUGUCGUUUUUGCAGCAGUUGUCGUUGUUGGUGCAGCAGUUGUCGUUUGUGCAGCAGUUGUCGUUGGUGCAACAGUUGUCAAUGUUGGUGCAGCAAUUAUUGUUGUUGAUGCAGCAAUUAUCGUUGCUGGUGCAGGAAUUGUUGUUGUUGGUACAGCAGUUGUUGUUGUAGGUGCAACAGUUGUCGUUGUUAGUGAAGCAGUUGUUGGUGCAGCAGUUGUUGUUGGUGGAGCAGUUAUUGUCGUUGGUGCUGCAGUUGUCGUUGUUGAUGCAGCAAUUGUCGUUGUUGGUGCAGCAAUUGUCGUUGUUGGUGCAGAAAUUGUCGUUGGUGCAGCAGUUGUCGUUGUUGGUGCAGCAAUUGUCAUUUGUGCAGCAGUUGACGUUCGUGCAACAGUUGUCAAUGUUGGUGCAGCAGUUAUUGUCGUUGGUGAUGCAGUUGUCGUUGUUGAUGCAGCAAUUGUCGUUGUUGGUGCAGCAGUUGUCUUUUGUGCAGCAGUUGUCGUUGGUCCAGCAGUUGUCAGUGUUGGUGCCGUGGUUGUGGUUGUUGGAGCCGCUGUUAUGGUUGUUGGAGCCACUGUUGAAGUUGUUUGAGCUGCUGUUGUGGUUGUUGGAGCAGCUGUUGUGGUUGUUGGAGCUGCUGUGGUGGUUGUUGGAAGUGCUGUUGUGGUUGUUGGAGCCGCUGUUGUGGUUGUUGGAGCUGCUGUGGUGGUUGGUGGACCCAGGCCUGUUGUUGUUGGAGCUGCAGUUGUGGUUGGUGGAGGUGCUGUUGUUGUAGUUGGAACUGGAGUUGUGGUACUUGGAGCUGCUGUUGUGGUAGUUGGACCCACGGUUGUCGUUGUUGGUGCAGCAGUUGUCGUUAGUGCAGCAGUUGUCGUUGUUGGUGCAGCAGUUGUCGUUUGUGCAGCAGUUGUCAAUGUUGGUGCAGCAGUUAUUGUCGUUGAUGCUGCAGUUGUCAUUGUUGAUGCAGCAAUUGUUGGUGCAGCAGUUGUCGUUUGUGCAGCAGUUGUCGUUGGUGCAGCAGCUGUCAUGGUUGGUGCAGCAGUUAUCGUUUGUGCAGCAGUUGUCGGUGAUCCAGUAGUUGUCGGUGUUGUUGCCGCUGUUAUGGUUGUUGGAGCCGCUGUUAUGGUUGUUGGUGCCACUGUUGAAGUUGUUGGAGCUGCUGUUGUGGUAGUUGGAACUGUUGUGGUAGUUGGAACUGCUGUUGUGGUUGUUGGAGCAGCUGUUGUGGUUGUUGGAGCUGCUGUUGUGGUUGGUUGAUCCGGGCCUGUGGUUGUUGGAGCCACUGUUGUGGUUGUUGGAGCUGCUGUUGUGGUUGGUGGACCCAGGCCUGUUGUUGUUGGAGCUGCAGUUGUCGUUUGUGCAGCAGAUGUCGUUGGUGCAACAGUUGUCAAUGUUGGUGCAGCAGUUAUUGUCGUUGGUGCUGCAGUUGUCGUUGUUGAUGCAGCAGUUGUUGUUGUAGGUGCAACAGUUGUCGUUGUAGGUGCAGCAGUUGUGGUUGAUGCAGUAGUUGUUGUUGUUAGUGCAGUAGUUGUUGUUGUUGUUCCUGCAGCAGUUGUCGUUGUUGGUGCAGCAGUUGUUGUAGUUGGUGCAGCAGUUGUCGUUGUUAGUGAAGCAGUUGUUGGUGCAGCAGUUGUCAUUGGUGUAGCAGUGGUUGGUGUUGGUACAGCAGUUGUCGUUAUUGGUGCGACAGUUGUCAAUGUUGGUGCAGCAGUUAUUGUCGCUGUUGGUGCAGCAGUUGUCGUUGUUGGUGCAGCAGUUGUCGUUUGUGCAGCAGUUGUUGUUUGUGCAGCAUUUGUCGUUGUUGGUACAGCAGUUGUCGUUUGUGCAGCAGUUGUCGUUUUUGCAGCAGUUGUCGUUGUUGGUGCAGCAGUUGUCGUUUGUGCAGCAGUUGUCGUUGGUGCAACAGUUGUCAAUGUUGGUGCAGCAGUUAUUGUUGUUGAUGCAGCAAUUAUCGUUGCUGGUGCAGGAAUUGUCGUUGUUGGUACAGCAGUUGUUGUAGGUGCAACAGUUGUCGUUGUUAGUGAAGCAGUUGUUGGUGCAGCAGUUGUUGUUGGUUUAGCAGUUAUUGUCGUUGGUGCUGCAGUUGUCGUUGUUGAUGCAGCAAUUGUCGUUGGUGCAGCAGUUGUCGUUGUUGGUGCAGCAGUUGUCAUUUGUGCAGCAGUUGACGUUGGUGCAACAGAUGUCAAUGUUGGUGCAGCUGUUAUUGUCGUUGGUGAUGCAGUUGUUGAUGCAGCAAUUGUCGUUGUUGGUGCAGCAGUUGUCGUUUGUGCAGCAGUUGUCGUUGGUCCAGCAGUUGUCAGUGUUGGUGCCGUGGUUGUGGUUGUUGGAGCCGCUGUUAUGGUUGUUGGUGCCACUGUUGAAGUUGUUGGAGCUGCUGUUGUGGUUGUUGGAGCAGCUGUUGUGGUUGUUGGAGCAGCUGUUGUGGUUGUUGGAGCUGCUGUGGUGGUUGUUGGAAGUGCUGUUGUGGUUGUUGGAGCCGCUGUUGUGGUUGUUGGAGCUGCUGUGGUGGUUGGUGGACCCAGGCCUGUUGUUGUUGGAGCUGCAGUUGUGGUUGGUGGAGGUGCUGUUGUUGUAGUUGGAACUGGAGUUGUGGUACUUGGAGCUGCUGUUGUGGUUGUUGGACCCACGGUUGUCCUUGUUGGUGCAGCAGUUGUUGUUAGUGCAGCAGUUGUCGUUGUUGGUGCAGCAGUUGUCGUUUGUGCAGCAGUUGUCAAUGUUGGUGCAGCAGUU